AGCGAACGCUGGCGGCAGGCCUAACACAUGCAAGUCGAACGGACCCUUCGGGGUUAGUGGCGGACGGGUGAGUAACACGUGGGAACGUGCCUUUAGGUUCGGAAUAGCUCCUGGAAACGGGUGGUAAUGCCGAAUGUGCCCUUCGGGGGAAAGAUUUAUCGCCUUUAGAGCGGCCCGCGUCUGAUUAGCUAGUUGGUGAGGUAAUGGCUCACCAAGGCGACGAUCAGUAGCUGGUCUGAGAGGAUGACCAGCCACAUUGGGACUGAGACGCGGCCCAAACUCCUACGGGAGGCAGCAGUGGGGAAUCUUGCGCAAUGGGCGAAAGCCUGACGCAGCCAUGCCGCGUGGGUGAUGAAGGUCUUAGGAUUGUAAAAUCCUUUCACCGGUGAAGAUAAUGACUGUAGCCGGAGAAGAAGCCCCGGCUAACUUCGUGCCAGCAGCCGCAGUAAGAC
rnacentral:rRNA from 1 species